UACAGAGGGUGCGAGCGUUGUUCGGAAUUAUUGGGCGUAAAGGGCGCGUAGGCGGUGCGGUAAGUCACCUGUGAAAUCUCGGAGCUUAACUCCGAAACUGCAUUCGAUACUGCCGUGCUUGAGGACUGGAGAGGAGACUGGAAUUUACGGUGUAGCGGUGAAAUGCGUAGAUAUCGUAAGGAAGACCAGUGGCGAAGGCGGGUCUCUGGACAGUUCCUGACGCUGAGGCACGAAGGUCAGGGGAGCAAACGGG
rnacentral:rRNA from 1 species